CACUUCUAUACUAUCUUUGUUGGGAGUUUACUAGAUAUUGACUACCACCCAGUCAGAAGCAGAGUAUGAGGGCGUGCCAUGCUAGCAGCUGGGGGAGCAUUUUAACGUGUGUUACUAAGUGACGCACGUUCAUCACGGAGAUGAAGGCUGGACUACGAUGGAGCUGUUGGGAGCAGUUUGUGAAACGUUUUUUUUUGUUGUUGGAGAUGGUAAGUCCCUUUGGGGUAGACUUUAGGCUU